UACGUAGGGUGCAAGCGUUGUCCGGAAUUAUUGGGCGUAAAGGGCUCGUAGGCGGUGUGUCGCGUCGGCCGUGAAAACUUGGGGCUCAACCCCAAGCCUGCGGUCGAUACGGGCAGGCUCGAGUUCGGUAGGGGAGACUGGAAUUCCUGGUGUAGCGGUGAAAUGCGCAGAUAUCAGGAGGAACACCGAUGGCGAAGGCAGGUCUCUGGGCCGAUACUGACGUGAGGAGCGAAAGCGUGGGGAGCGAACAGG
rnacentral:rRNA from 1 species